CCGGUGCCAACUGAUUAUUUAAAAAAAAAAAAAAAACGAGUUUAAAACAAAGCUAUAUAUGCCGAGUUUCUGGGUUUUAACAACUUCAUUUCUUCUUCAGUUUAUUUUUCAUUCUCUCUCUUAGCUCUCUGAAAUUCCUUAUCUCUGAAAUCUGAAUGCAUGCAUGCCUCUCUCCUUCAAUUCCUUAUCUCUGAUCUCAUCUCUCAUCUCUGUUCUUCUCUCUCCAACCAAGCACAACAGCCAACACAACAACCAAGCCGCUGCCGUCAAAUUUGAGAUUUGAAGGACGUGAAUUUGCUGAGUUGAUGUUCGAAGUUUCUGGGUUUUGGAUUGUAAUUUAUUUUUCAGCAAUUUUUCAGUUUUUUUUAAUAAACUGAAAAAAAAAACAAUUUAUUUUGAUGAAUAUAGCCUUAGCUUGUUCGAUUUCAAGUUUUGGAUUGAAUGUAUAAAUUGGAUUGAUGAAUAAAUGUUAUGCUGAAAUAUAUUUUUUUUUUA